rnacentral:rRNA from 1 species
UACGAAGGGGGCUAGCGUUGCUCGGAGUCACUGGGCGUAAAGGGUGCGUAGGCGGGUCUUUAAGUCAGGGGUGAAAUCCUGGAGCUCAACUCCAGAACUGCCUUGAUACUGAAGAUCUUGAGUUCGGGAGAGGUGAGUGGAACUGCGAGUGUAGAGGUGAAAUUCGUAGAUAUUCGCAAGAACACCAGUGGCGAAGGCGGCUCACUGGCCCGUAUACUGACGCUGAGGCACGAAAGCGUGGGAGCAAACAGGA